GGGACAACAGUUGGAAACGACUGCUAAUACCGCAUAAGCCCACGGAUCCGCAUGGAUCUGCGGGAAAAGGAUUUAUUCGCUCUAGGAUGGACUCGCGUCCAAUUAGCUAGUUGGUGAGGUAACGGCCCACCAAGGCGACGAUUGGUAGCCGGACUGAGAGGUUGAACGGCCACAUUGGGACUGAGACACGGCCCAGACUCCUACGGGAGGCAGCAGUGGGGGAUAUUGCACAAUGGGGGAAACCCUGAUGCAGCGACGCCGCGUGGAGGAAGAAGGUUUUCGGAUUGUAAACUCCUGUCGCUAGGGACGAUAAUGACGGUACCUAACAAGAAAGCACCGGCUAACUACGUGCCAGCAGCCGCGGUAAAACGUAGGGUGCAAGCGUUGUCCGGAAUUACUGGGUGUAAAGGGAGCGCAGGCGGACCGGCAAGUUGGAAGUGAAAACUAUGGGCUCAACCCAUAAAUUGCUUUCAAAACUGCUGGCCUUGAGUAGUGCAGAGGUAGGUGGAAUUCCCGGUGUAGCGGUGGAAUGCGUAGAUAUCGGGAGGAACACCAGUGGCGAAGGCGACCUACUGGGCACCAACUGACGCUGAGGCUCGAAAGCAUGGGUAGCAAACAGGAUUAGAUACCCUGGUAGUCCAUGCCGUAAACGAUGAUUACUAGGUGUUGGAGGAUUGACCCCUUCAGUGCCGCAG
rnacentral:rRNA from 1 species